GCCCGCCUAGCUCAAUCGGAUAGAGCGUCAGACUUUUAAACGUACCACACCCUCUGUGGAUGUUCGCCGUUGGAAUCUGAAGGCUGCGAGUUCGACCCUCGCGGUGGGCU